ensembl:lncRNA
GGAGGACUUCAUUGGAGUGGUGUUCAUGGCUUUGCUAGUGUGCCUUGCCAUCGCUGAACAGCAAAACCUUCUGUUAGGGGUUAACCAUCGGCGUCGCCGUUCCAAUGCCCGGCGAUCACGUUUGAGAAGAAAGAUGUUUUUAGAUGUCACCCCGCCCCCUGCCCGUGACAUGCUCGGCUCUCAACUCUGGCCCAGCAACGAGUUGAUGCCUGAAAUAGCCCCAGUUUUUGGAGCCCGCAGCCGCAGCUCCGGUGGUGGAAAGACAAAAAAACGGCGCCACGUCGGGCACCGGCUCCGACUCCGAACGGGCUCCACCCCAGUCGAAAGCCCCUGUUUCCCAGAGACUAUGGGUUGAGGAGGAAUUGGAAGUUUGUCGGCUUAGACCUGGUGUCAUUCCAUCAGUGUUAAACUUCCCGGCUCAUCUUGGAAGAGUACGUGCCAGAAAGACCACGACCAAGCAGCCUUGAGAUCUUAGGCAGCGUCUCCCUGAGGUCCCUCUCUAUCUCCCCACACAUCCACCAACCACUGGAACACAUCUCCAAAGUUCUGCAGGGCCAGCUCAGCUUCCCCUCAGAAGAAGUGCCACCACCUGCCAGAUGAAGGAGCCUUUUGAGAGGCAGCUGGCAUCGUGAUUGGACUGUACUUUGGUCUGUUCCAAUCCAGCUUCAGCUCCAGAGACGGCAGGCGGGACGAGUCAACGGAGGCCGAGUGGAUGAAGGCAUGCAGCUGAGUACAAUCCAGAAAAGAACAGAGGAGGAGUGCAGUGGCCCAGGGCCAGAACAAACAGAGUAGCAUCGUAUGUCUCUUAGAAAACAUCAUAGUAUAGCCUUUGGUAUGAAAAAACGCCAUCAUAUACAUCGUAUAUUGUACAAAUAACAAGUCAAAGGAAAGAGACAUACAUUGUAGAAUUGUAGUAAUUGUGGGCUGACUGGCCUUGGCAAUGGUCGUCGGAAUGUGAAUAACACUGACCACACCUCACAGAGGUUAUAAGCUGAGGCAACAUCAUCCACCACCAGAACUGAAGAAACCUCUUGGAUGAGAGGUGCAACAUCUUCAAGGAACCUUCUUAAAGUCCAGUUGGAUUGAUUUAAACAACUUUGGAUGACUGAUUUACUGAUUAUCAGUAUUUUAUUUUUUACUGAUUGACGGUAAUAAAUACAUUUAAAAAUGGUGCUACUUUGGCUCUGAACCUUUAUCUACCUGUGGUCGCUCUGUCUUCUGGAGUGAUUUGAUUGGUUAUACGUCACGAAUAAAACUCCUUUAACUUAACAACUGUAAACAAAACAAAAACGUAUCAACAAAUUUUUCUGUUAGAGUUUGUGUUCUUCUAAGUUUAACUCCAAGAUUUUAAAUACUUUCAUUUACUG